UACGAAGGGGGCUAGCGUUGUUCGGAAUCACUGGGCGUAAAGGGCGCGUAGGCGGCUUUAUAAGUCGGGGGUGAAAGCCUGUGGCUCAACCACAGAAUUGCCUUCGAUACUGUAGAGCUUGAGACCGGAAGAGGUAAGUGGAACUGCGAGUGUAGAGGUGAAAUUCGUAGAUAUUCGCAAGAACACCAGUGGCGAAGGCGGCUUACUGGUCCGGUUCUGACGCUGAGGCGCGAAAGCGUGGGGA
rnacentral:rRNA from 1 species